UGCCCCAGUUCCUUACACGUGUCGCUCCGCUUUAUGAUCUCUCUUCGCACCAAAUCGCAGCCCUUUCAUUAAAUUCACAACCGUUUUGCUCCUUUGACCUUCUCCAGUAUCAGUUACCGCCAAUGCCAACACUUCUCGUGCCUUCACUAAUCCUCCCCAUUCCCGCCAUUUCCAAGCUCAAACUCAAACUUUCUUCUGAAUCGAAGCCCUUCAAGUUCAAGUCCUGGCGACUGGCUGCCACUCGCGAUGUCGACGCGUUCACCGAGAAGUCAAGCUAUUUGUUCCAGCUCAGCUCCACGGAGGCCGACUCUUUAGUCGAUUACGAUUUGAAAAAAAUUGGUUCUAUUUAUCGGAGAAAGCCGCUGAUCUUACUGCGCCGAAUUGUCCAAGUUGCAACCAUUUUCGGGUGGUGGUUCGGGUCUCGGUAUGUGGAUAAACUUAUGGAGCGAUCCGAUCAAAUGUUUAAGGUUAGAGCUGCUGAGCUUCGACAAUUAUUAGUAGAACUUGGUCCGGCAUACGUCAAAAUUGUGCAGGCUGUUACAUCUCGAGCUGAUUUGAUACCACCAUCGUAUUUGGAUGAACUCUCACUGUUGCAAGAUCGUAUAACUCCAUUUUCCACUGACAUUGCUUUCAAUACAAUAGAGCAAGAACUUGGAUUAUCAAUAGAUGAACUGUUCUCGGAAAUUUCACCAGAGCCUGUAGCAGCAGCAUCCCUUGGGCAGGUUUAUCAAGCUAGGCUUCGCCGGAGUGGACAGGUCGUUGCUGUAAAAGUGCAAAGGCCUGGAGUUCAAGCUGCAAUUUCCUUAGACAUAUUAAUCUUGCAUUAUAUGGCAGGGUUGGUCAGGAAAGCUGGGAAACUAAACACUGAUCUGCAGGCAGUUGUUGAUGAAUGGGCAUCAAGUCUUUUCCGGGAGCUUGACUAUAAGAAAGAAGCAAGAAACGGACUCAGGUUUAGACAACUGUAUGGUGAUAUACAAGAUGUUUUGGUUCCUCAGAUGUAUGUAGAGCAAACAACUCGCAAGGUCCUUCUUAUGGAAUGGAUUGAGGGAAAAAAGUUGUCUGAAGUUAAGGAUCUUUACUUAAUUGAGGUUGGAGUUUACUGCUCAUUCAACCAACUCCUGGAGUAUGGGUUCUAUCAUGCUGAUCCACAUCCUGGAAAUCUCCUUCGUACAGAUGAUGGGAAACUGGCUUAUAUAGAUUUUGGCAUGAUGGGCGAAUUUAAACAAGAAUUCCGCAAUGGAUUUAUCGAAGCUUGUCUCCAUCUUGUAAACCGUGAUUUUGAUGCGCUGGCCAAAGAUUUUAUAACCCUUGGCCUUCUUCCACCAACUGCAGAGAAAGAGGCUGUUACAAAAGCUUUAACAGGUGUCUUCCAAAAUGCUGUUGCCAAAGGAGUCCGAAAUAUAAGCUUUGGGGAUCUUCUAGGAAACUUAGGGACUACCAUGUAUAAGUUCAAAUUUCAAAUACCUUCAUAUUUUUCUCUUGUCAUUCGGAGUCUUGCUGUGUUGGAGGGAAUUGCUAUCAGUUUCGACCCAAAUUACAAAGUUUUGGGUAGCACAUACCCUUGGAUUGCUAGAAAAGUAUUAACUGACAGCUCUCCCCAGCUUAAGUCUUCAUUGGAAACUCUUCUUUACAAGGAAGGUGUUUUCAGAAUUGAUCGUUUGGAGUCUCUCCUACAAGAGUCCCUUCGUGCCCGAACAGAAAAGUCCUUGGUUAAGAAGCAAGUAGAAGAUUCAGAUUCCAGAGCAGUAAUUAAGCAAAUCCUUUCUUUCACAUUAACUGAUGAGGCUGCUUUCAUGAGAGAAAUACUUCUUCAAGAAUUUGCUAAGGGUUUGGAUGCACUUGGGCUAGCAACCCUGGAUUCUUUAACUUCAGCAAUGCCUGCACCUAUACCAUUUGCUGCUUCCACUUCAGUCUCUUCACUGACUGAAGAAGACUUGAUCAACUUGAGAACCUUACGUCGUCUUAUGUUAUUAUUGUCAGGGUUUCAAAGAACUGAAGGUUCCAUGGUGGAAAUGAAUAGAAGUCUGAUUGAUUAUAGAAAUGGAAACGCAUUCUUACCUCUCAAAUGAAGCUUAGAACCGACUGGCUCCUAUGUUGCAGUUAACAAACCAUAUUUUAUUCCUACAGGAAGCUAAAGAGCUUAGGCCAUACAAGAAUCAAGGCACAUUCACUGAAGAAGUAUUUCUCACCUUUUAUCAACUUCCAUCUAUUCAAGAGAUUUUACCUGUUCUUUCUGUUAUUCCCGAGCUCCCACCUGAGAUGCAGCUGCAGCUACUUAGCUUGCCUGCUGAUCUUGCUGGCAGGUUGGCUUCCCGUGCCGCUGCUAGGACUAUCCGGAGGAUAUUUCUAUGAUGUGAAACAAAUAUAGAACAAGGCAUGAGGUUGGCUAUUCUUUUUUCCAAAGACUUGGUCGGUUUACUGAAUUUAAACCACAUUUAAGUGGCAUUUGUGACAUGUCCGAUUUAAUAUGUAGCCACUCAUAUAUUACCUAAAAUGGCUUAAAAUUUUGUUGCCAUCCAGAACAGUUGUUCUUUUUUCUCCUUUUAUCUGAUGAUCUUUUUCUCUUUGCAUCUUCCAA